CAGCUAGCUUAUCCACCAAUAUUAACCAAACAAUAUAAAUAAAAUGGAACAGGCCUAACACCAAAAACUAAACCAUUCUUUUACCUGAGUAUGGGCGACAGAAAGGGUUCAACAAAGCAAUAGAGACAGUACCGCAAGGGAAAGCUGAAAGAGAAAUGAAAUAACCCAUAUAAGCAUUAAAAAGCAAAGACUAAACCUUGUACCUUUUGCAUCAUGAUUUAGCCAGUAAACACAAGCAAAGAGACCUUUAGUUUGAAACCCCGAAACCAGAUGAGCUACCCCGAGACAGCCUAUUAAGGGCCAACCCGUCUCUGUGGCAAAAGAGUGGGAAGAGCUCCGGGUAGAAGUGACAGACCUACCGAACCUGGUGAUAGCUGGUUGCCUAAGAAAUGAAUAGAAGUUCAGCCUCGUACACCCCAAGUCAAACAGUAAUAGUCAAGAUACCUUGAGAAAUAUACGAGAGUUAGUUGGAGGGGGUACAGCCCCUUUAACAAAGGAUACAACCUUAUCCAGGAGGAUAAAGAUCAUAAUACAUAAAACAAACUGUUCUAGUGGGCCUAAAAGCAGCCACCUAAACAGAAAGCGUUAAAGCUCAGACAGAAAAAAGUUUAUUAUUCUGAUAAAAAAUCUUACUCCCCUAAAUACUAUUAGGCUAGUCCAUGCCCCCAUGGAAGAAAUUAUGCUAAAAUGAGUAACAAGAAGGCCCGCCCUUCUCCAAGCACAAGUGCAAGCCAAACCGGACCAACCACUGGCAACUAACGAACUCAACCCAAGAGAGUAAUGUGAACCAUAAAAUAAUCAAGGAAAGCCCACAACUCAACAAUCGUUACCCCUACACUGGAGUGCUACCAAGGAAAGACUAAAAGAAAGGAAAGGAACUCGGCAAACACAAGCCUCGCCUGUUUACCAAAAACAUCGCCUCCUGCGACACAACCAUGUAUAGGAGGUCCAGCCUGCCCAGUGACUACAAGUUCAACGGCCGCGGUAUUUUGACCGUGCAAAGGUAGCGCAAUCACUUGUCUUUUAAAUAGAGACCUGUAUGAAUGGCUAAACGAGGGCUUAACUGUCUCCCCUUUCAAGUCAGUGAAAUUGAUCUACCCGUGCAGAAGCG
rnacentral:rRNA from 1 species